AGGACGAACGCUGGCGGCACGCUUAACACAUGCAAGUCGAACGGAGUUAAUUGAGCUUGCUAAUAACUUAGUGGCGGACGGGUGAGUAACACGUGAGCAAUCUGCCUUUCAGAGGGGGAUAGCAGUUGGAAACGACUGAUAAUACCGCAUAACAUAGCGAGACCGCAUGAUCUUGCUAUCAAAGAUUUAUCGCUGAAAGAUGAGCUCGCGUCUGAUUAGAUAGUUGGUGAGGUAACGGCCCACCAAGUCGACGAUCAGUAGCCGGACUGAGAGGUUGAACGGCCACAUUGGGACUGAGACACGGCCCAGACUCCUACGGGAGGCAGCAGUGGGGAAUAUUGCACAAUGGAGGAAACUCUGAUGCAGCGAUGCCGCGUGAGGGAAGAAGGUUUUCGGAUUGUAAACCUCUGUCUUAUGGGACGAUAAUGACGGUACCAUAGGAGGAAGCUCCGGCUAACUACGUGCCAGCCGCUGC
rnacentral:rRNA from 1 species